rnacentral:rRNA from 1 species
CACGUAGGGGGCAAGCGUUGUCCGGAUUUAUUGGGCGUAAAGAGCUCGUAGGCGGUUCGGUAAGUUGGGUGUGAAACCUCCAGGCUCAACCUGGAGACGCCACCCGAUACUGCUGUGACUAGAGUCCGGUAGGGGAGCGUGGAAUUCCUGGUGUAGCGGUGAAAUGACGCAGAUAUCAGGAGGAACACCAGCGGCGAAGGCGGCGCUCUGGGCCGGAACUGACGCUGAGGAGCGAAAGCGUGGGUAGCAAACAGG